UAACCGAUGUCUCCUCACCUCCCCUCCCCCACCCAGCAUCCCAUCGUUUCAAUUUCUGAUAGAAACUGUUGCCCUUUCCUCUGCCCACGAGCACCUCCUCCAUAAAUCCAUCUCUAUCCCCUACCUCGGUUGUUCAUCAGGUGGAACCAUGACAGGGACGCCCUAAAGUCCUUGCAGCGCCUUUCUCCAGGUCUCCUAUUCAUGUCGCUGCUGCCACCGCGGAUCAUCGUUCUUCCGCCGUGAUCUCUUCCUCGGUGAUUAAAGUGGGGCCAAACUAAAACAGCUCAUGCAUUGAUUCUGACUACCUGAAGUUGGUCCAUGAGGAGCAAGUGGCAACAGAUUUUCUGAGUAUGAUGCUGAUUUUUUCCAAUGAUUUACAUGGGAAGGGUGAAUCUAGCUGUGAUGAUCCUGAUUCGCUCAGCAAACAAAUAAGUGCAUUUGGAAUUGUUUUUAGUGUUGAACCAUUAGCCAUUAACUAUAUGUCUCUCUGUAUAUACCAAAG